GGACGUCUAAAUAGCUGACACCAUUCAUAUUGAAUUGGUUCUUAAUAUGUACAUUGAUAUUUUUGUUGGUGUGUUUUAUACUUCUUUAAUUUGACGGUGUUGAAGCUGGGCGGCUUCCCCUCAUUCCAAGUCCAGACUCAAGUCACUCCCUGAGGCUCCUUGCUCAGGUUCUGGGUAGCAAUAGGUUUUGUAAUCAAGGGUAGGCAGUGAUCGAUUGAAUCUUUAUUUUUUUUUCAAAAAGUAACAAUAAAAAAAAUAUAUAUAUACAUUUAUGUAGGAUGCUCAAAAGAGAAUUUUCAUUCAGUACCCUAAAUGUAGGCUACCUUGUUAUUUUGUUAUUUUUUGUGAGUAGGGUGGGCCCUGCCACCGCCACUCAUAAACAUACAGUGAGUAGGGUGGGCCCUGCCACCGCCACUCAUAAACAUACAUGGAAACGCGGCAUUGGGAGAGACUAUGGAGAUGGACUAGGCGGCUCCAUUUUCCCUCUUAAAGAGGACAGACGGACCAUUUACAGUGAUGGUACAUUUGUCAGAAGAAGGUGAAACAAUAGGAUCGUCCUCACAAUGGACUGAGACCGACACAGAUCCAUUAUGUGAGAGGCUUGAGGGUCGGGCUGGACUCUGGACACCAUUGUGAUUCUCCAUAGUUAUGGUACAUUCUUGUUGGUCCCUGGUUGGUUCAGGACCGUCAGUGGACCUUAGUGGUGUAGUCACUGGGAGAGAAGGCAGCAGAGAGUCAGGACAUACAGCCAGCCUCCACAUGCAGCAACACUCACUGAAGACUGAAGCCCAGUGGAGCAGCUCUGCAGCUGGGUACUCUCAGGUCACAACCGGACACACAACCAGACACAACCAUACACACACACAACCAGACACACACACAACCAGAAACACAACACCAGAGGAGCAAGCUACUGAAUACACUUUUGAUCCUUAUAUUUUAUAUUGCAUAAUGUUUAGACUCCGUAUUAAGACUCUUCAUAGAAGACAGACUUAAUAGACAUUAAUAAAGUUAUGUUACAAAUUUACAAAAGUGAAAAAUGUGGAAUAAGAUCUUACCGUUCUCCUGUUCCUGUGUUUCCCUUUUCUGUAAAAUAAAUUUUUUUAAUAAAAUAUCAACAUU
ensembl:lncRNA